UUGACCUCAAAUCGGGUGAGACUAC
rnacentral:rRNA from 2 species